CACAUGCACCAGGGCCAACCACAUGGAGUGGCCUCACUUUGUAACAACCCACUCUGAAAGCCCGCUGUUAGUCUGUUCAUCUCUGAACGUCAAUCGUGUCAUCUCUGUGACUUUCCACCAGACCUCCUCUCUUAAAGGUUCUAUCACUUCGCCCCCAAACUGGGGACCAAGGUUCUAGCACAUGAGCCUUUGGGGAGACACUCAAACCAUAGCCAAACUCUAGCACCCUUUCUCAGCACCUGUGAGCUCAGCUCAAGAUUGGAUACCAUAAUCAAGUCCUCAGAAGGCUCCGGGGGCUGGAUUUUCAAAAGCACAAGAAGCUGGACAAAAGCCUGUUCUAACCCCAGAGUGAAUUACCUGGAAGAGUACAAGAAACUCACUUUCAAAGACACAAGUUGGUUGCUCAUUGGCUCCUGAACAACAGAGACUUCACUGGGUAACAAGGCUAAGAAAAUAGACUCAAUACAUGUGAUAGUUUGGAGAUGCAGAACACCUUGGGCACAUCCGACCUCCUUUCAGAAGUUGUGGACUGCUGGUGAGAAGGUCAUAUGGGCAUGGAUCUCUAUCACAGGUCAAGAAGGUUCUAGAAGGACAUCCUGUAGAAUUCCUGCUCUUGACACCAUGGGUGAUUCUUCUUGUGCCAGCAAACCAAGCCAUUUUGACAGCACACAGGACCGGCGCUGUUUGCUAAGAACCAGGAGGACAGUCAUUGGACUGAAGACCCACCCUAAAUCCAGAAUGAUUUCAUCUGAAGACCCUUGAUUGUAUCUGCAAAGAAUCUCAUUUUAAGGCUGUUUCAUAAUGCUUGUUGCUGAAACAUUUGCCGAAAUCAGUCUGGCUGAAGGCUUCAUGGAUAUUACCUGGAGGGAGGAGAGAUUUUAUGAGGAACACUCCACCUUCCUGUGCUACCAACUGGGUCAUGAGCUAUGAAAGGCGCCAACUGCAGCUUCUUAAUCGUCUCAUCCCCAGCACGCAGCGCUGAGCCGGGCACGCGAAGGGUGUCUUUCUGCAGGUACCUGCCUAGCAAACAAGUGCGGCUGAGUGUGUGCACAGGGAGGACGCGAGGUCAAGGCGACCAUCGCGAGAGGAAGGUUUAAUUGGAGUGUCACCUCCCCACGUCGGCUGAAAUCCCCUGAAGACCUCUCGCAUCUCUGCAGAAGCUGUAAGAAAGGGCGAGGUUGGAGUGGGCAGCUGAGCAGAACAUUGAGUUAAGUGCAGGCACUGAUCCUUGAAAGGCCCGGCUCAUCCGGGGAGAGAGGGCAUCGGGAGGGAACAGGAAAAACCUCCCAACCGGGGGCUGCGAGCUAAGAUCCGCUCGGUCAUUAAGAUUCAACGGAGAGAAGCCGCGGCUGUCUUGUAGGUGCCUGUUGAGAAUAGACCGUACAAGCUCAUGGAUGGACUCUAGGAGGACUUGUGAAUUACAUCUCAAAACCUAGGGGGAAAAUGGUGCGAAAUGGCCUUUGUUAUUAGGCUUGUAUUUUAUCACCCUAUUUUGGAAGGCUGUUUGCAGACAGGAGAGGCUUUCUCCAAGAGCCUCCCACAGGUGGAGAAAGUGUUCGGUAUUUGUAACCUGUCUCCUUCCCUAUUAAUCAUCCUGAUUCUCUCAUCCUGUGCUGAUGUCAUGAGCCUCUCUAUUUGAAAACUGUACCAUAUUUAUCUUGUAGUCUUUAAUAAAUCAUUUGCCGGUUGUGUGUGAUCUCGGGUACUUGGCGUGAGUGAGGUAUCACCCUGUCCCCCCUGCACUGCAUUUCUUAGACAGUGCGGUGGGGUGACUGCCGCUUUGACUCCCUCCGUGAAACAGAGGGAAACUGGCUAUUUCUAAAUUGCUGUUUGGU